AUGGAACAGUGUGGCAUACCACAAAUCCAGAGAGUUUCCAUUUCCACCAGUUUCCUCCUCAUAAUCAGACUGUCUAAUUCCUUUCAGGAAAGAAAACCGAAAGUACACAUGGUAGCUAAAUUAUUUGAAAUUCAGUCUCAUGUUCAAUUAAGAACUCUAAUACUAAUGACCUUGCCUAAUGGCUUUGUCCUGUGUUUGGACCAGCAACUUCAAGGCUCCUGGUGGCUUCCCCGCAGGCUGCGACUCCGUUUUGCUCUUCUGGUUCCAAGGAGACAGCAAUUCAGAUGCUUCCCGAAACACCUUCCUGUCAUGGAAGUGGAACAGAGAGGAAGAUGGAAGACGUGUCGACUCUUUUGAAGGAUGCGGGAAGAUAGGAUUCUGUCAACGUUUUCCUUUCUGGUGGUGGCAGAUCCUAAAGUUCUAAGCUAGAAGGAAGGUCCGAUAGUUGGGAUUUGGAGACUCAGUUUGGGGACCUGUGAUUUGGUACCCCAAGAGCAUGAGCGUACAGUGUCCUUUCGGGUGAGUAGAAAUAGAAUCUUUCCAUAUCCGUCUUCUGCUACCCAUGUCCGUGUGCUACCCUUACUAAUUUAACUUCCUAAGCUCUGUCAAGAUAGUAGUACCUCCCCACAGCAAUUGGGGUUGCAGACAAUGGAGAGAGAUGGUUUAGGGGACAUUGUUGGUGAUCUGUCACCUCUACCCAUCUCAAUGGAUCCACCUGUUGUUUUCAUUUACAGCAUCACCCAUGUUCUUUGAGGACAACCAAUCAGUCCUUCCCUUCCCAACCUAAGG
rnacentral:lncRNA from 1 species